UACAGAGGGUGCGAGCGUUGUCCGGAAUCACUGGGCGUAAAGGGCGCGUAGGUGGCGCCGCAAGUCAGUGGUGAAAGCUCGACGCUCAACGUCGAGUCGGCCACUGAUACUGCGGGGCUUGAGCACUGUAGAGGCUAAUGGAAUUCCGGGUGUAGCGGUGGAAUGCGUAGAGAUCCGGAAGAACACCGGUGGCGAAGGCGGUUAGCUGGGGCAGUGCUGGACACUGAGGCGCGACAGCGUGGGGAGCAAACAGG
rnacentral:rRNA from 1 species